GAUGAACGCUGGCUACAGGCUUAACACAUGCAAGUCGAGGGGAAACGACGGGGAAGCUUGCUUCCCCGGGCGUCGACCGGCGCACGGGUGAGUAACGCGUAUCCAACCUGCCUCUGACUGAGGGAUAACCCGUCGAAAGUCGGCCUAAUACCUCAUGGCAUCGUCUGCGGGCAUCCAACGACGAUUAAAGAUUUCAUCGGUCAGGGAUGGGGAUGCGUCUGAUUAGCUUGUUGGCGGGGUAACGGCCCACCAAGGCGACGAUCAGUAGGGGUUCUGAGAGGAAGGUCCCCCACAUUGGAACUGAGACACGGUCCAAACUCCUACGGGAGGCAGCAGUGAGGAAUAUUGGUCAAUGGGCGGAAGCCUGAACCAGCCAAGUAGCGUGCAGGAAGACGGCCCUAUGGGUUGUAAACUGCUUUUAUGCGGGGAUAAAGUGAGGGACGUGUCCUUCAUUGCAGGUACCGCAUGAAUAAGGACCGGCUAAUUCCGUGCCAGCAGCCGCGGUAAUACGGAAGGUCCGGGCGUUAUCCGGAUUUAUUGGGUUUAAAGGGAGCGUAGGCCGUGGAUUAAGCGUGUUGUGAAAUGCAGGUGCUCAACGUCUGCACUGCAGCGCGAACUGGUCCACUUGAGUGUGCGCAACGCAGGCGGAAUUCGUCGUGUAGCGGUGAAAUGCUUAGAUAUGACGAAGAACUCCGAUUGCGAAGGCAGCUUGCGGGAGCACAACUGACGCUGAAGCUCGAAGGUGCGGGUAUCGAACAGG
rnacentral:rRNA from 1 species